rnacentral:rRNA from 1 species
CAGUCGCCACGGUAAUACGUAGGGUGCAAGCGUUAUCCGGAAUUAUUGGGCGUAAAGAGCUCGUAGGCGGUUUGUCGCGUCUGCUGUGAAAACUGGAGGCUCAACCUCCAGCCUGCAGUGGGUACGGGCAGACUAGAGUGCGGUAGGGGAGAUUGGAAUUCCUGGUGUAGCGGUGGAAUGCGCAGAUAUCAGGAGGAACACCGAUGGCGAAGGCAGAUCUCUGGGCCGUAACUGACGCUGAGGAGCGAAAGCGUGGGGAGCGAACAGGAUUAGAUACCCCCGUAGUCCCUGUCUCUUAUAC